GGACUACAGGGGUAUCUAAUCCUGUUUGCUCCCCACGCUUUCGCACCUCAGCGUCAGAACCGGGCCAGUGAGCCGCCUUCGCCACUGGUGUUCUUCCGAAUAUCUACGAAUUUCACCUCUACACUCGGAAUUCCACUCACCUCUCCCGGUCUCGAGACAUCCAGUAUCAAAGGCAAUUCUUGGGUUGAGCCCAAGGCUUUCACCUCCAACUUAAAUGUCCGCCUACGUGCGCUUUACGCCCAGUAAUUCCGAACAACGCUAGCCCCCUUCGUAUUACCGCGGCUGCUGGCAC
rnacentral:rRNA from 1 species